rnacentral:rRNA from 1 species
CCAUACCAUUUUGAACAUACUAGUAUGAUUUGAUUUUGUAAAGCUAAGCAGAGUUGGACCUCAUUAGUACUUGGAAGGGAACAGCAGGAAUCUGCAGGUAG